AGCCCCGUCGUCUAGUGGUCAAGGAUAGUAGGCUCUGGACCUGCAGACGGAGGUUCGAAUCCUCCCGGGGCUA
rnacentral:tRNA from 1 species